AAAACAAGAAAAAGUUGCUUCAAAGGCGAAGAGAGGAGUACUCGAAGUGGGUUAAACAGAAUAAAGAAAAUCAGAAAAAGGUGCAGGAUGAGGAGCGUCAAAGGCAGGAAGAAAAUAAGAAAAUGUUGCAGGAGAGGCUUCAAAGGCAGAGAGAAAAUCAGAAAAAGUUGCAGGAUAAGCGUCUAAGGCAGAAAGAGGAGUACUCGAAGUGGGUUAAAAAGAGUAAAGAAAAUGAGAAAAAAGUGCAGGAUGAGCGUCAAAGGCAGAAAGAGGAGUACUCGAAGUCGGUUAAACAGAAUAAAG